UAGAAAAGAAGAGGUGCGAUAAAAACUAAAUUGGAAGAGAGAAUUGUUGCACAAAAAUGAGAGGGUGAAAAAUAAAGAAUAAAGAGAGUAGAGAUUAGACAAGAAGACUCAAUAUGUAUUUAGAAAAGAAGAUGCCAUACUGCUGUGAGAGGUUUGAGAAGGCUAAAACUGAAACCCCGAGUGUGAGGAGGAGAAAAUCAUUUAUAACUGUAAGGCUAAG
rnacentral:lncRNA from 1 species